CUCAGCAGCUACAUCACCCUGUGAUUCACAGCUGGCUGCCCACUGAAGCUCAGCAGGUGUGAGCCUGGCCAGUACCUGGAGGGGAGACCUCCUGGGAAAGCUAAGGUUGCUGCUGGAA
rnacentral:rRNA from 1 species